CCAACAUUGGUAGUGAAUUUCGGAACGCAGCUUCUGGUGUGUGCCAAAAAGAGCCGUGGUGGUCAUUGUGGAAAAAAGAGAGAUACAUUAUAAUGUUUACGAUUUAAUGGAUUUUGAUCGACUCAAGCUUGAUUAAUUACUAUUUUACUAUGAAUUCAAGUCUUUUAUUGAUGCAGACGGUGGUGCAAUGACGUCAUUAAUCAAUCUUGGGUCGAUCAAAUUUCGUUCAUUCGAAAACGCUAUUAGAUGGAGAAAUGUGUCUCAUGUCUGUUUUGGUUUUAAUAUCCUCCACCAUAUUGGUAGUAAAUGUGAAAGAAAGACAGAUAUCUCCGUCCACUGUUGCAAUCUUUUGAUCACAAAUUACACAUUAGUUCUUAUAGGAAAGACUCAUUUCAGUAUGUUAUGCAGCUCAAAGAAGCAAAGGACAGGAGUUUGGUCUCAUGUCUUUAGUCUUUUAGGUUUUUAUAUGUAGUCGUAUAUUUGAAAUAAUAUGCAACAAACACUAAUCUAAAGGAAUUUUAGGAAUUCCGUAAUAGAUAAAACAGAAGAUUGUUCAAAUUAUUGUUAUAAACCUGGUGCUUUCCAACUACUAUGGGAGGAUCCUCACACUAUUCUAAUAUGUUAUGAUUAUAAUAUUAAAAAAAUGGAUAUAAGAACAUCCGAAUUUGUACGUACAUGGAAUUGUUCAUCC